CAUGACAUUUAGAGUCUAGUGAGGGAAAGAGACAUUUAAUGAGUAAUGGGCGAUAAAUGCACAAUUUUAAUUAAUACUAUAAAGGACAAAAAGGAAAAUGGGCUUAGGGGACUUGUUCCUUCAGGUGAGAUCACCAGGGAAGCUUUCUCCAGAGAGAUGAUAUGAAAGCCAAGACCAGAGGAUGAGAAGAAUCCAGCCCUGCAGGGUGGAAGAAGAGCAUUCGAGCUCAAGGGAACAGCAUGUGCCAAAGCCUUAAGCAGGCUUCCAUUUCCUGAAGUUCCAUGGCCAAAGCUGUAAAGGGAUGCUCAAGAAGAGGGAUGAUCACUGUUGAAUCAGCACCUGGGCCCUUAUCUGCCAUGGUCACCUCAGGCCUUGUCUGUGGCUUCAGAGUCUGUCUCCAGGAGGAACUCUGGCCACUUAACCACCAACGACUCACUCUCAAGCCAGGACAUCCCAAUACCACCCCAAAGACAUCGCCUCAGUCUGUGAGCAGAUAAGGAAUCAGAAGCUCAAAGCAAGUAAGGGGUUUACCCAAGAGCUCAUGAGAAGCAAGUUAAAGAGCUGGGACUGCAAGAGACAGAGGGAUGCCUCAAGGCAUGACCUGGUGGCCUGGAAUUCCCUCUCAGACCUAGAACGCCCUGCUUUCCAGUAUCACUUCUGGUUAACUAAGGAAAAUUCACUUGGAAAACAAGGAAGUCUGAGUUUUCUGCAACCCGGGAAUCCAGAACUUAAAAAGAAGCAAGGAGGGCAGAGGGUUCCCGGCUGAGGACACAGGACAGCAGGCCUCCUGCCCAUGCCACCUGGUGUGUUUAGAAACACAGAGCUGCAAUUGGACGGUUCUUCCUCCAGCUGGGCUGUGAAUGAAGCAUCUUGUCUUCCAGUCCCCCAGACUUGCCGCCACAUCAGGGUGGCAGUAACUGCCCCCUGAAGGUCCUUGGAGUGAGUUGGGCCAGGCACAGCCAGAUGACGGCACUGAGACACAGAUUAAGUCUCUUGCCCAAGGUCGUGAGACUAAGAAGCGGCAGACUGGGAUUUGAACCAGGCAUGGUGGUGCUGGAGUCCACGCCCUAAAACCAGGCCACACUGUCACCUAUAAGGAGGAAAUAAACUCACCCAAAAUCCUACAUGCAGAGAUGACCACCGAAAAAAUAAAGCUCAGGAUCCCAACAAUGUGAAGGGUCUAACAUAAAGCCCUCUCCACAAUAAAUAAGACUGUAAAAAUAACAUCUUCUGGAUGAGAGGCAACUCAAAGUGGUUUUUUGUAAUUGUAUUAUUGUAUUCUAAUUAUCACAUGGUUCAAACAAAUGGGUGAUAGAAUCUUCAGUAUGAAACUUGAAUUAUGGUUCCACAAUAAGAACUUUUCUAUGGAUGGUAAUUAGAAACAAAGAAAAAUUCUUUCUGGACAAAGGUAUGUUUAUCAUAGCCUUUCGGUGUAUAGCCUUUCAGUCUCUUUAUAAGUAUUUUAAAUGCAAAAUUUUUUCAUACAUUAUUAUAAAAUAUGUCAUACUCUAUGUACUGUUUUGUAGCCUUUCUGCUUAUCUUUCCACAUCAUAAAAUAGUCUCUACAACCUUUUCUUCAGAAUGAAAAUAGUCUUGUUCUUGAUCAUAAAAGUGACAAAGGAAAUAACAAAUGUAUGUAUUUGCUUGUAGUAUAUGCGUGAAAUGUCUCUGAAAGAGUACAGUAGAUGCUGGUAACACUGGUUACCUCUGGAGGGAGCCAGAUGGAAGGCAGACGUGGAUGAGAGGGAGACUUUAAUGUAUAAACUCUUGCACUCUUGAUUGUGACUAU